GAUGAACGCUGGCGGCGUGCCUAAUACAUGCAAGUCGAGCGAACGGACGAGAAGCUUGCUUCCCUGAUGUUAGCGGCGGACGGGUGAGUAACACGUGGAUAACCUACCUAUAAGACUGGGAUAACUUCGGGAAACCGGAGCUAAUACCGGAUAAUAUUAUGAACCGCAUGGUUCAAAAGUGAAAGACGGUCUUGCUGUCACUUAUAGAUGGAUCCGCGCUGCAUUAGCUAGUUGGUAAGGUAACGGCUUACCAAGGCAACGAUGCAUAGCCGACCUGAGAGGGUGAUCGGCCACACUGGAACUGAGACACGGUCCAGACUCCUACGGGAGGCAGCAGUAGGGAAUCUUCCGCAAUGGGCGAAAGCCUGACGGAGCAACGCCGCGUGAGUGAUGAAGGUCUUCGGAUCGUAAAACUCUGUUAUUAGGGAAGAACAUAUGUGUAAGUAACUGUGCACAUCUUGACGGUACCUAAUCAGAAAGCCACGGCUAACUACAUG
rnacentral:rRNA from 1 species